AACUAACGCUGGCGGCGUGCCUAACACAUGCAAGUCGUACGAGAAAGUUGGCUUCGGCCGAUGAGUACAGUGGCGCACGGGUGAGUAACGCGUGGAUAAUCUGCCCUUAAGUGUGGAAUAACGUACCGAAAGGUGCGCUAAUACCGCAUAAUGCCUGGCAACAUAAGUUGUCCGGCCAAAGAAGGCCUCUGCUUGCAAGCUUUUCGCUAAAGGAUGAGUCCGCGUACCAUUAGCUAGUUGGUGGGGUAAUGGCCUACCAAGGCGAUGAUGGUUAGCUGGUCUGAGAGGAUGGCCAGCCACACUGGAACUGAGACACGGUCCAGACUCCUACGGGAGGCAGCAGUGAGGAAUCUUGCGCAAUGGGGGAAACCCUGACGCAGCAACGCCGCGUGAGUGAGGAAGGCCCUCGGGUCGUAAAGCUCUGUCAGGUGGAAGAAAUCGAUGAAGGUGAACAACCUCCAUCCUGACGUACCACAGAGAGCACGGA
rnacentral:rRNA from 1 species